rnacentral:rRNA from 1 species
UACAGAGGUCUCAAGCGUUGUUCGGAAUUACUGGGCGUAAAGGGUGCGCAGGCCGCGCGGGCAGUCAAAUGUGUAAUUCAGGGGCUCAACCCCUGCACUGCGCUUGAUACUUCCGCGCUCGAGCUUUGGAGAGGAGUCUGGAAUUCUCGGUGUAGCAGUGAAAUGCGUGGAUAUCGAGAAGAACACUUAGGGCGAAGGCGAGACUCUGGACAAAUGCUGACGCUCAUGCACGAAGGCUAGGGUAGCGAACGGG